UACAGAGGUCUCAAGCGUUGUUCGGAUUCAUUGGGCUUAAAGGGCGCGUAGGCGGGCUAUCAAGUCCGGGGUGAAAUCCUCCAGCUUAACUGGAGAAUGGCCUCGGAUACUGAUGGUCUCGAGGAGGAUAGGGGCACACGGAACUGUGGGUGGAGCGGUGAAAUGCGUUGAUAUCCAUAGGAACUCCGGUGGCGAAAGCGGUGUGCUGGAUCCUUUCUGACGCUGAGGCGCGAAAGCCAGGGGAGCAAACGGG
rnacentral:rRNA from 1 species